UAAAAUACUGGGGCUUGCGGUCAUUAGUUACAUUUCAACCACAGCGAUUCCCCAAUUGAGGCGCAACAGAGUUCACCGCAAAUGCAGGAACACCGGAAAUAAUAACUAAAACAACGAAUGAGAAAUGGUGGAGGCUACUAGAACGAAGAUACAUUUUUUUCCGAAUAAACGUGAACCUGAGCCCUAGGACCAUGCCUCAGGACUACCUGGCCUGAUGACUCCUUGCUGUCCCCAGUCCACCUGGUGGUGGCGCUGCUCCAGUUUCAACUGUUCUGCCUGCAGCUGUGGAACCCUGACCUGUUCACCAGAUGUGCUACCUUGUCCCAGACCUGCUGUUUUCAUCUCUCUCUCUCUCUCUCUCUCUCUCUCUCUCUCUCUCUCACCUGUUGUCUCUCUCAAUUCAAUUCAAGGGCUUUAUAGGCAUGGGAAACAUGUGUUAACAUUGCCAAAGCAAGUGAGGUAGAUAAUAUAUAAAGUGAAAUAAACAAUAAAAAUUAACAGUAAACAUUACACAUACAGAAGUUUCAAAACAAUAAAGACAUUACAAAUGUCAUAUUAUAUAUAUAUACAUUGUUUUAACAAUGUAGAAAUGGUUAAAGGACACAAGAUAAAAUAAAUAAGCAUGAAUAUGGGUUGUAUUUACAAUGGUGUGUGUUCUUCACUGUUCUCUCUCUCGCACCUGUUGUCUCUCUCUCUCUCUCGUCUCUAACUCUGAGUAGUCGGCUAUGAAAAGCCAACUGACAUUUACUCCUGAGGUGCUGACCUGUUGCACCCUCUACCACCACUGUGAUUAUUAUUAUUUGACCCUGCUGGUCAUGCUAUAAACAUUUGAACAUCUUGGCCAUGUACUGUUAUAAUCUCCACCCGGCACAGCCAGAAGAGGACUGGCCACCCCUCGGAGCCUGGUUCCACUCUAGGUUUCUUCUUAGGUUCCUGCCUUUCUAGGAAAUGUUUCCUAGCCACUGUGCUUCUACAUCUACAUUGCAUGCUGUUUGGGGUUUUAGGCUGGGUUUCUGUAUCGCACUUUGUGACAUCAGCUGAUGUAAAAAGGGCUUUAUAAAUACAUUUGAUUGAUGUCGUCAUACCAAUGCCUUACUAACGUCUGCUUGACGUCUGUGUGUUAAUGAAAGUCAUAAGUUGCAUAUUUUAUAUUAAUUAAAUCACAGACUUGUUUCCAGUAGCCUGCAUCAGACAACCAAUAAGAGUUGUGUCUGUGGCUUUCAGUCGAAUAGAGGAAUUCAUAGGCUUUCCCAGAGGGUCUGUGCUUUUUGGGAUCCUUGGGAUAUCCCUACCUCAAUCAAGUAGAAAUGUAAAAUGGUUAUGGUAAGGGUUACGUUUAGUGUUAGGUAAGGGUUAUAGUUUAGGGAUCAGGGUACGGACAUCCCAAGGAAUAAGAAUAACAGUGUUCGUUCAAAGAGUGAGAGACGGGCACAGUAUUUGAGAGCUCAGCGGCGACACAGACAUUUGUUUUUUUACAAGUUGCAAAUGCGAUUUUUGCGAGUGACUUCCCCAGAUAGUUUCUUUACUCGGAACCCAAACCAUCUGCGCGCGUGCGCCAUCGUGCACCAUCAUGCAUAAAUGUAUUUUGUCCCCCCCACACCAAACGCGAUCACGACACUCAGGUUAAAAUAUCAAAACAAACUCUGAACCAAUUAUAUUAAUUUGGGGACAGGUCGAAAAGCAUUAAACAUGUAUGGCAAUUUAGCUUGCUAGCUUGCACUUGCUAGCUAAUUUGUCCUAUUUAGCUUGCUUGCUGUUGCUAGCUUAUUUGUCUUGGGAUAUAAACAUUGAGUUGUUAUUUUGCCUGAAAUGCACAAGGUCCUCUACUCCGCUAAUUAAACCACACAUAAAAUGGUCAACCGAAUAAUUUCUAGUCAUCUCUCCUCCUUCCAGACUUUAUCUUCUCUUGACUUUAUAUUGCGAUCGGCAACUUUCAUAAAUUAGGUGUAUUACCGCCACCAACCUCACUCGUCUUUCAGUCACCCACGUGGGUAUAACCAAUGAGGAGAUGGUACGUGGGUACCUGCUUCUAUAAACCAAUGAGGAGAUGAUGGUAUGUGGGUAUCUGCUUCUAUAAACCAAUGAGGAGAUGGGAGAGGCAGGACUUGCAGCACGAUCUGCGUCAGAAAUAUAAACAUACUUCUAUUUUAGCCCUUGGCAACACAGACACCCGCGAGCAGUGUGGGUGCAAUAAUUGAAUAAUAUAGAUUUCUAUAUUUAUUUUGCAACGCUCAUGCACACGACGUGAACGGUGUAGUCAACCUGUUAAAGAAGAUGAAAAUAAUUACAGAGAUGUCCUUAAUUCUAUUGAGGAAUAAGUAAGCUAUAUUUAAGUUGUGAUAUUGUUAGGAAAUUAUUAACUGUGUUAAGGCAAAUUUGGUUUAUUUGAAAAUAAUUACAUUUUGUUGAUAAUGAGUUGAUAACGUAUUGUCCAAAACACAUAUAGAAAAUAUUAUUUCCUGUGUUGAUAGGGGAGUAGGCUAGUGUACAAUAAUAACGUAAUUUGAUGUGCUAGUAUUAUUUAUUUAAUGGAUUAAAUACAUUUUAAAUGAAAAUAUACAUGUUGUCACGUCCUGAUCACAGUAAGCUGGUUUUUCUCUGUGUUGGUUGGGGCGUGAUGGUGACUUGGGUGGGUCAUCUAGGUUAAUUUUGUAUUUCUAUGUUGGCCUGAUAUAGUUCCCAAUCAGAGACUGCUGUUUAUCGUUGUCUCUGAUUGGGGAUCAUAUUUAGGCAGCCAUUUCCCCUUUGUGUUUCGUGGGAUCUUGUCUAUGUUUAGUUGCCUGUCAGAACUAUUUGUAUAGCUUCACGUUUCGGUCGUUGAUUUUGUUGUUUUUGUUCAGGUUUCAUUUAUUAAAAGAGUAUGUACAUAUA